GAGUGCAUAACAGUACCAUGCCCCCUGUGUUCCAAAUUGGAUCAGGAAAAGCGGUCUUUCCGGGCAAUGAUUCAAUCCAAAAGGCAAGAGCUAUUUUAGGAGUACUUUUCAGGAAGGCAAUAUCCCUUUUACUGGUCGGUGGACUAAAAUUUCCCAGUGGGGUUCUCCGAUUUAACUCUUUCUAAAACCUGUUUUUUAGAAGCUAUGAAAAAGGAGAAUAACCUUCCACUUGUCAUGUACAUGCUCUUAAGGUCUUCUAUCUUCUAUGUAAAAGCAUCACAAAAUUACCCAGUCUAUCAUUUAGUGAGGGAUGUUCCAAGUUAUACAACACUGUCACACUUCAGUGUGGUGAAAAAAAUUACUACACAAAUAAACUGGAUCUUUACAACUUUGGCAUCGUCCUGUGGAAGUUGCUGACCAAUAAAAUGCCAUUAGAAGGCAUGUUGAAUUUUCAAGCUGCAUAUAUAUGCUGCUGCUUUUAAAGUAAGUAGACUAUCAUUUUGCUAUGGAAUGAUGCCACUUCCUAGAAUGUUGUCUGCACCUAAUUACCGAGGUACUCAACCAUAAUGUUGUAGGAACCACUAUUUUCUUGUGAGUUUCAAGUUGAUAUUUGAAUCUGUCUUUUUCUUGUAACUGAAAUCAGUUGCUCGUAUUUCUUCAUACUGUUUAGCAUCCUGCCGAUGUGAUCUGUUGCAUACCUAAAAUGUAUCAAUACAUUUUUUGUGAUUUGAAUAAUCAACAUGGAAUCUUGUUGUACUUCUUUUAUGAGGUCUGAGGGAGAUUGUCGAUACCUUUCAGCUUUGCCGGUAUUUCACUUUACAUCCUUGUAUAAUUGAAGCUCCGAAGUGAAAUAGUAUUCAGAUUGCGAGCUGUUGAGAAAGUGCUGCUAUCAGGGGAUCUGGGUUAUCCUAAGAACUUUGCAGGGGUGGAAUAACUACAUCAUAGAAGAGAUAAUUGAACUUAUUAGUGGAUCAUAAGCAUCAUGUAAAUAAAAAAGUUUGGCAUGUAGAUUCAGCUGGUAGAUUUCAUACGCAAAUUAAUCCCAUUAUAACAAACCAUUUUAUGUGAAGGUUACAUUAGGUUAAGUUUCCAUCCAUAUUACUGUUUUGUAGAUUUUGCAGUUUACAACCAGCUAAGAGUCAAGAAUGUACUGAUGAUGCAUUGCAAUUAAAACAUUACGUAUAUGAAAAUUUGGCUCCAUUCUUUUCCUAAAUAGAUUGUUAAAACAAAAUUUGUGAAUGAUGACUGCUUUAAUAACAAUCGCAAAUAAUCGCAAAUAUAAUUUUAUUCUUCAAUUAAAUCUGCCCUCUUACAUUGCGGUUCUGGAAUUGAUUACUUAUGUUACCAUAGAAAUUUUCUUGAAUUGUUUAUUCAUGAGGGGAUUAACUCUACCCCAUCAUACAAACUUCUACGUUGAGUUAGAAGGGUUGUCUACUUGAACAUGUUCCUGAUCCCCACUUUCAUGAUACAAGUGUGUACUGUAAACUUUAAUAUUGCUAAUUGCUAGCUUUAUUGGUGUACAUAAACUGAUCACUGAUUUCUUAGCACCUACUAACCUAAUGCAGAAUUUCCUUUUGCUGCCAGAGUUAGCGCUUUCCAGUAUCCACUGAACUUCUGUCGAAAUCUCAAUGAAAUAGUCGUGUUUUCUACGUUUCCACAUGACAAAAUCAGCUUACCAUUGAGCCUGAGUAGGCAGAAAGUCUCAGGGAACAUCAAGAUGUCGCUGGCCGAUGCGUAGUUGCUGCACAAUAUGAUACCAUAGGUGUUUGAGGUGACGUGCCACGGUGGCAUCGGUGAUUCAUACUCCCUCUGUCUGGAAAUACUUGUCGAAGAAAUGCAUAAAAGUGAAUAUAUCUAGAACUAAAAUACAUCUAGAUACAUUCAUUCCUCCGACGAGUAUUUCCGGACGGAGGGAGUAUAUUCUAGGGCAUGGCUGGUAGUGACAUCUCUGCUACUCUAAUGGUGUUCUUCAUAGUAAAUAUACAGGUUCAUUAGUCCACAUAAGUACUUCGUAGUAAAGGUUCCAGAACUUGUGGGUGAUGACGCCUGUGCAAGGGCACAAGAUGCAAAUUCAUGUGAAUAAUUUGACUCAAUAAAGAGAUGCAAUUAAUGUUUGCAAGAAAAAAAGUAACAGACCGCCAAACGUUCAUAUCUCCCUUUCUUUCCUUAGCAUGUUUCUUACUUUUGGAUUUAUAUAUUGUCGGCUCAUAAGAUGAUUGGUCUAGAUAGUGGAUGCUCAAUGAUUCUACAGUUGAGUCAAGCAAAUUCAGUUGAAGAAAUUAAGGAGUUUGUAAUAAUUUUGCGCAGAUCAUGACUCGUGAGGAAAGAGAAUACUAUGGAACAUGAGACCAUUUUUUUUAAUGAAGAGUAGCUUUUUCCGUUGAAGAGAUUAAUGAAAUGAAUGCCCAAAGGAAGCAAGUGUGUACCAAUAUGGGCUCAAUGGCUGAAACCAGUGAAGCAUUCCAUCAAAAGGGACAUGUUAUUUUCUGUUUUGAAUUUCAUCAAGUUUCAUGCUGACCCAUGUUCUCUUUUCUAGACUUUGAAGAAGGGAGUUGGUUUACUUUUCAAAAAUUUGGAAUCCCUUGAUGAGAAUAGAUGAAUGGUUUAAAUCUUGUGAGGAUGAGAGAAUUUCUGGGAAAAUGAAAUGGUGAAUUGUAUGCUGCUAAUGGAAUAUGUCAACAGGCCUAUGAGAAUUGGAUUGAGCUGAGAGCGGAACCAGGUAAAAAGGUAAGAAACUUCUUGUAUUCAAGGGCCGCUUGUAGUGUUCAAUCUGUAGUGCAAUGUUUUAAUGCUAAAUAAAGAAGGCCGGCAUGGUGUUAUUAGAUUAUUCUUUGCCAAGUUUUACACCACCAACGGAGCCUUAUUGUCCGGUUAAAAAAUAAGAAAGCACAGAUACUAGAUAAACCGGAGUGAGAACCUAUGUAGUGUUCGUUCCAAACAUGAGUAAUUACGCUGAUUAAUAGAUUGACUUUACAUUUUUUACCCUAAAAACACUAAUUCAUGGCCCUACUAUAUUUUUUAUUGCAUCAAGAAAACAAAAGAAUUAUACAAAAAACGAAAAGGAAAAGGUUUGAGGAUAACAAAGCAAAAAAGGGCAGCCUGGUGAAUGUAGCUCCCGCUUGCACAGGGUCCGAGGAAAGGUCCGACCACAUUGGGUCUAUAGUAUGCAGCCUUUUCCUACAUUUCUUUAAGAGGUUAUUUUUAGGACUUGACCCCGUGGGCAGCAGCUUUACCGCUGCGACAAGGCUCCCCUUCUUAGGAAAACAAAGCAAAACAAAACAAAAAAGGAAGGAUAAGAAAAAUAGAAUCUACAUAUGGUGAUUGACUUUAUGCCAGCUAAAAAAUAAAUAUUUAUUUAGUGUCAUGAUUUCAUAAGUUUAUAAAGUGUGCAACCUGUCCUUGCUAUCUAUCACGAUGAGGGGAAGCCUGACUCGUCUGUUUCCCACUGCAUGCACACCUGCCCUGAUGCAGCCCAAGACAUCUGUAACCCCUCGCCCCAAGUGCUGCCAAUUGAUUGGGAAGCCUGACGAUGGGGUUUGGAUGUGUCUACUGUGAAUAAAAAGGCUAAUGGUGAUCCAAAAAUGCUACACUUACGGCUAGCAUUGCACGGUUUGCUAAUACGGACUCUCUCCCCACCAAUCUCUGUGUCCCCUGAUUUUCACUGUGGGGUCCUCCUCAUUCCAACUUCCAACCAAAUAUGGACACAUGUUCCCGUAACAACAAUCCCGUAUGAGUUGAGCAUAAGUGUAGCAUCGCUGAUGGUGAUCAAAAGGAUCCGUAGCAGUAACGUGCUGGCGCUAGCACACAUUUAUUUUUUGUCUGUUAAUUAAUUAAUUUCCCGACAGCUAUUUCUGAAUUUUGUCAAUAAAAAUAACCUAUUUGAUUAGAACUUUUUUAGCAUUUGCCCCCCCCCCCCACAGUUGAUUUUUUGGCUAGCUCCGGCACUGUUGCCGCCCUUGUCUACAGUGUUGAUCAUUGGCUCACUUGGAACAAGAGUUAGCGGAUUUUGUGAUAAAAGUGAGGGUUGAGAGUGAGCGGUAUGCGGGUUGGGUUAGUAUGUUAAAUUACGGCUGUCUGGGGCGAGUAAUUUCCAUACAUUAAUUUUUUUUGGCAAAUUGCAUUUCACUACAGAUGACUUUGUAGCAAAUUGCAUGAGCGAGCGAUUCAUUUUUUGCAUCGUUCAAUUUUUUAGUUAGAAGGGUAAAUGUAUUGGUUGGUUCAAGAGUUAAUAACGGAAACAGUGGCAUAUACAUCAUAUUUUUGUUUCCUGUUAAUGCACAAUUCAACUAUUUACGUUACAACAUGGCAAUGGCUGAGGCGACAUCGGUUCUGCCUUCUUGGCUUGGGGAUGUCACGGGCAGCGCACGUCUCGUCCUCCUUGAUGGUGGUGAUGGAUCGACAUGAACACGAGGGGAGGGGAUCAGGCAACAGCAGGUUGGUUGGUGGGACUCCUCUUUGGCUGUCCGCGGGGAAGUAUGAUGGAAGGGAGAGAGGGCGUCAUGGCGAAGGUGAGGUGGACAUCAUCCGUUUUGAAAGGAGGGGGCUCCAGUGAAAAAUGUCCCGCUACGAGAGAAAACCAGGAAGGGAAGGGUCCAGCAAGAAAAAGGAAGGGUACGUCGUGGGUGAUACAUUUUUGGACCACGUGUUGGAGAUAACAUGGUGCAUAGUCCGAACAAACCACGUUUUCCCCCAGAUUGCCAGAGGGUUGAAUUUUGGGGAGCUUGCUGGAGGCCCAUUUGAUUUUCGAACAUGGCGGAUGAUGAGGAAGAAAUGAGCAUCGACCUUACAAAUGACCAAACUAUUUAAUUGAUUUACUUGUACAUAUUCUAGCCCGUGGCAACGCACGGGCAAUUUACUAGUAGUAUUAGUGAGUUUUACGUACUUCCCUAAAUCCAAGUUCACGACACUAUAGUUGCAAGUAUUAAAGAGCUACCUUUAUGUUCAGUUUAGUUUUAUAGGAAAGAAACUCAAUUUACGUGCAAGGUGACUAGUCUUCAGAAACUCAUCGGUCCCAUUUAAUCGACUUUUUGGAAUGUGACGAACUAACAUAUUCCACAUUAUUUGCAGUGAUAGGAUGGUCCAACAAGUGACAUAUUAAUUUACUUAUAUCCAGAAACUAACGGUGUAGGUUUGCUGCUUUCCAACAGUUCUGACUUUUCAAGAUUGCAGGGAGCAUUCUUUGUACUUCAACUUUUUGUUAGGAUGUAAUGCAUACAAUCAAUCUCUCUGCAAAUUACAGUGGUAUAGACUCCAGAGUGUAGUUAUUUGAGUGGAAACUCUCUCCAUACCAUGUUAACCCGUGUUAUGCAAGUCAGUAUUCCACUUAAAUUCUACGGUAAAACCAGCGUCGUAACAUUGCAGGUACCUAAAAGAUACAGUACUAACGUAGGAACAGAUGUUAACUGAUCCAACGAUGUGGAACAGCUUUGUACUCUUCUUUCCUGAUGUGCUCUUUUGUAGAGAUAGCACGCUGACUAGACUUUCCAGGGAAUCAUCAACAUAUUUCCCCAAGGGUGUCACAGAACUGUAGAGCGUAGAGCGUUCAUCCAAGAGAUUUUCAAUCAAUAGUGCAUAUGUGCAGGUUAGAAUCAGCAAAACAAGUGUAGAUCCCAACAAAAACUGACUUUUCAGUCGAACAGAGCACUAGCAACAACAACCAUGUAGGCCAUAUAAGGAAAAAAUAAACACCAACCAUGUAUCAGAGUUUGUUACUGUAACUUAUUUUGCAGCUUCUGCAAAUCCAAUGAUUGUGAUGUUUGUA